UACGGGGGGAGCAAGCGUUGUUCGGAUUUACUGGGCGUAAAGGAGCGCGCAGGCGGUCGUUCAAGUCGCGUGUGAAAGCCCCCGGCUCCAACUGGGGAGGGUCACGGCGAUACUGAUCGACUCGAAGGCAGGAGAGGGAAGUGGAAUUCCCGGUGUAGUGGUGAAAUGCGUAGAUAUCGGGAGGAACACCAGUGGCGAAGGCGACUUCCUGGCCUGUUCUUGACGCUGAGGCGCGAAAGCGUGGGGAGCAAACAGG
rnacentral:rRNA from 1 species